rnacentral:lncRNA from 1 species
CUUUAACUCUGAUCCCUUCCUCUCCCCCACAGAGAUUCCUCCAACUGAACUUCCAGAGAGACCCUGAAGAGAUUAUCUGGUCCAUGAGCCCUGUGGUGGAUGGUGUGGUGAUCCCAGAUGACUCUCUGGUGCUUCUGACCCAGGGGCAGGUUUCAUCCGUGCCCUACCUUCUACCUGGAGUUCAAUUGGCUCUUGCCUUACGCCAAAAACUCCUGGGGGGCUGAGCCUGGAUCCAAGUCACUGGUGGGCCCAUCUCUGGCCCAGCUGGCACCCAGGCCUCAGAUAAGUGUGGCCUCCCCACCCAGAAUAUCACCAAGGAGCAGGUACCACUUGUGGUGGAGGAGUACCUGGACAAUGUCAAUGAGCAUAACUGGAAGAUGCUAUGAAACCGUAUAAUGAAUAUAGUUCAAGAUGCCACUUUCGUGUACACCACGCUGCAGACUGUUCACUACCACUGAGAAACCCCAAUGAUGGGAAUCUGCCCUGCUGGCCACGUUACAAGGAUGAAAAGUACCUGCAGCUGGAUUUUACCAUAAGCGUGGGCAUGAAGCUCAAGAGGAAGAAGAUGGCUUUUUGCAUGAGUCUGUACCAGUCUCAGAGACCUGAGAAGCAGAGGCAAUUCUAAGGGUGGCUAUGCAGGAAGAAGCCAAAGAGGGGUUUGCCCCACCACCCAGGCCCUGGGGAGACUGGCCAUGGACAUACCUGGGGACAAGAGUUCUACCCACCCCAAUUUAGAACUGCAGGAGCUCCCUGCUGCCUCCAGGCCAGAGCUAGAGCUUUUGCCUGUUGUGUGGGACCUGCACCACCCUCUCCAGCCUGACAUCCCAUGAUGCCCCCUACCUCAAUGUUGACAUCCAGUUAGGCCAGGCCCUGUCAACACCAUACUGUGCCCAGCUCUCCAGCCUCAGGACAACCUCUCUUUUUCCCUUCUUCAAAUCCUCCCACCCUUCAGUGUCUCCUUGUGGCUCCUUCUUAUGGGAGUUCGACCCAGACUGCCACUGCCCCGUCACUGCACCCAGCUUGGCAUUUACCAUUCAUCCUGCUCAACCUUGUGCCCGUCUGUUCACAUUGGCUUGGAGGCCUAGGGCAGGUUGUGACAUGGAGCAAACUUUUGGUAGUUUGGGAUCUUCUCUUCCACCCGCACUUAUCUCCCCCAGGGCCACUCCAAAGUCUAUCCACAGGGAUGUUCUCAAUAAAGAAGUGUUGAUUUGACCUGAAUUUCUC